rnacentral:rRNA from 1 species
CAAGUCGAGCGGACGUUUUAUUGGUGCUUGCACCGAUUUAACGUUAGCGGCGGACGGGUGAGUAACACGUGGGCAACCUGCCCUGUAGAUUGGGAUAACUCCGGGAAACCGGGGCUAAUACCGAAUAAUACUUUUUAACUCAUGUUAGAAAGUUGAAAGAUGGUUCUGCUAUCGCUACAGGAUGGGCCCGCGGCGCAUUAGCUAGUUGGUGAGGUAACGGCUCACCAAGGCGACGAUGCGUAGCCGACCUGAGAGGGUGAUCGGCCACACUGGGACUGAGACACGGCCCAGACUCCUACGGGAGGCAGCAGUAGGGAAUCUUCCACAAUGGGCGAAAGCCUGAUGGAGCAACGCCGCGUGAGUGAAGAAGGAUUUCGGUUCGUAAAACUCUGUUGUAAGGGAAGAACAAGUACAGUAGUAACUGGCUGUACCUUGACGGUACCUUAUUAGAAAGCCACGGCUAACUACGUGCCAGCAGCCGCGGUAAUACGUAGGUGGCAAGCGUUGUCCGGAAUUAUUGGGCGUAAAGCGCGCGCAGGCGGUCCUUUAAGUCUGAUGUGAAAGCCCACGGCUCAACCGUGGAGGGUCAUUGGAAACUGGGGGACUUGAGUGCAGAAGAGGAAAGUGGAAAUUCCAAGUGUAGCGGUGAAAUGCGUAGAGAUUUGGAGGAACACCAGUGGCGAAGGCGACUUUCUGGUCUGUUAACUGACGCUGAGGCGCGAAAGCGUGGGGAGCAAACAGGAUUAGAUACCCCUGGUAGUCCCACGCCGUAAACGAUGAGUGCUAAUUGUUAGGGGGGUUUCCGCCCCCUU